rnacentral:rRNA from 1 species
GGUUAAGUUAGAAAGGGCGCACGGUGAAUGCCUUGGCACUAGGAGCCGAUGAAGGACGGGACUAACACCGAUAUGCUUCGGGAGCUGUAAGUAAGCUUUGAUCCGGAGAUUUCCGAAUGGGGAAACCCACUGCUCGUAAUGGAGCAGUAUCAUUACCUGAAUCCAUAGGGUAAUGAGGGCACACCCGGGGAACUGAAACAUCUAAGUACCCGGAGGAAGAGAAAGCAAAUGCGAUUCCCUGAGUAGCGGCGAGCGAAACGGGAACAGCCCAAACCGAAAGGCUUGCCUUUCGGGGUUGUAGGACACUCAAUACGGAGUUACAAAGGAACGGGGUAGAUGAAGCGGUCUGGAAAGGCCUGCCGUAGAAGGUAAAAGCCCUGUAGUUGAAACUUCGUUCCCUCCUGAGUGGAUCCUGAGUACGGCCGGACACGUGAAAUCUGGUCGGAAGCAGGGAGGACCAUCUCCCAAGGCUAAAUACUCCCUAGUGACCGAUAGUGAACCAGUACCGUGAGGGAAAGGUGAAAAGCACCCCGGGAGGGGAGUGAAAGAGAACCUGAAACCGUGUGCCUACAAGUAGUCAGAGCCCGUUUAUGGGUGAUGGCGUGCCUUUUGUAGAAUGAACCGGCGAGUUACGAUUACAUGCGAGGUUAAGUUGAAGAGACGGAGCCGUAGCGAAAGCGAGUCUGAAUAGGGCGAUGGAGUAUGUAGUCGUAGACCCGAAACCAGGUGAUCUACCCAUGUCCAGGGUGAAGUCCAGGUAACACUGGAUGGAGGCCCGAACCCACGCACGUUGAAAAGUGCGGGGAUGAGGUGUGGGUAGCGGAGAAAUUCCAAUCGAACUUGGAGAUAGCUGGUUCUCUCCGAAAUAGCUUUAGGGCUAGCCUCACGUAGUAAGAGUCUUGGAGGUAGAGCACUGUUUGGACUAGGGGCCCUCAUCGGGUUACCGAAUUCAGAUAAACUCCGAAUGCCAAUGACUUAUCCGUGGGAGUCAGACUAUGAGUGAUAAGAUCCAUGGUCAAAAGGGAAACAGCCCAGACCACCAGCUAAGGUCCAAAGUAUACGUUAAGUGGAAAAGGAUGUGGAGUUGCUUAGACAACCAGGAUGUUGGCUUAGAAGCAGCCACCAUUUAAAGAGUGCGUAAUAGCUCACUGGUCGAGUGACUCUGCGCCGAAAAUGUACCGGGCUAAACGUAUCACCGAAGCUGUGGGUGGACACCUUCUGGUGUCCGCGGUAGGAGAGCGUUCUAAGGGCGUUGAAGCUAGACCGUAAGGACUGGUGGAGCGCUUAGAAGUGAGAAUGCCGGUAUGAGUAGCGAAAGAUGAGUGAGAAUCUCAUCCACCGUAUGCCUAAGGUUUCCUGAGGAAGGCUCGUCCGCUCAGGGUUAGUCGGGACCUAAGCCGAGGCCGAAAGGCGUAGGCGAUGGACAACAGGUUGAUAUUCCUGUACCACCUCUUUAUCGUUUGAGUGAUGGGGGGACGCAGGAGGAUAGGGUAAGCGCGCUGCUGGUUAUGCGCGUGUAAGCAGUUAGGCUGGCAAAUAGGAAAAUCCGUUUGCCGUUAAGGCUGAGCUGUGAUGCCGAGGGAAUUUGAGUACCGAAGUUCCUGAUUCCACACUGCCAAGAAAAGCCUCUAGCGAGAUAAAAGGUGCCCGUACCGCAAACCGACACAGGUAGGCGAGGAGAGAAUCCUAAGGGUGAGCGAGAGAACUCUCGUUAAGGAACUCGGCAAAACUGACCCCGUAACUUCGGUGAGANNGGGUGCUCAUUAGGGUGCAUAGCCUUGAUGAGCCGCAGUGAAUAGGCCCAGGCGACUGUUUAGCAAAAAACACAGGUCUCUGCGAAGCCGCAAGGCGAAGUAUAGGGGCUGACGCCUGCCCGGUGCUGGAAGGUUAAGAGGAAGGGUUAGCUCACGCGAAGCUCUGAAUCGAAGCCCCAGUAAACGGCGGCCGUAACUAUAACGGUCCUAAGGUAGCGAAAUUCCUUGUCGGGUAAGUUCCGACCCGCACGAAAGGCGUAACGAUCUGGGCACUGUCUCAACGAGAGACUCGGUGAAAUUAUAGUACCUGUGAAGAUGCAGGUUACCCGCGACAGGACGGAAAGACCCCGUGGAGCUUUACUGCAGCCUGAUAUUGAAUUUUGGUACAGCUUGUACAGGAUAGGUAGGAGCCGUGGAAGCCGGAGCGCCAGCUUCGGUGGAGGCGUCGGUGGGAUACUACCCUGGCUGUAUUGAAAUUCUAACCCGCACCCCUUAUCGGGGUGGGAGACAGUGUCAGGUGGGCAGUUUGACUGGGGCGGUCGCCUCCUAAAGAGUAACGGAGGCGCCCAAAGGUUCCCUCAGAAUGGUUGGAAAUCAUUCGCAGAGUGUAAAGGCACAAGGGAGCUUGACUGCGAGACCUACAAGUCGAGCAGGGACGAAAGUCGGGCUUAGUGAUCCGGUGGUUCCGCAUGGAAGGGCCAUCGCUCAACGGAUAAAAGCUACCCCGGGGAUAACAGGCUUAUCUCCCCCAAGAGUCCACAUCGACGGGGAGGUUUGGCACCUCGAUGUCGGCUCAUCGCAUCCUGGGGCUGUAGUCGGUCCCAAGGGUUGGGCUGUUCGCCCAUUAAAGCGGUACGCGAGCUGGGUUCAGAACGUCGUGAGACAGUUCGGUCCCUAUCCGUCGUGGGCGUAGGAAAUUUGAGAGGAGCUGUCCUUAGUACGAGAGGACCGGGAUGGACGCACCGCUGGUGUACCAGUUGUCUUGCCAAAGGCACCGCUGGGUAGCUAUGUGCGGAAGGGAUAAGUGCUGAAAGCAUCUAAGCAUGAAGCCCCCCUCAAGAUGAGAUUUCCCAUAGCGUUAAGCUAGUAAGAUCCCUGAAAGAUGAUCAGGUUGAUAGGUCAGAGGUGGAAGCACGGUGACGUGUGGAGCUGACUGAUACUAAUCGAUCGAGGACUUAACCAA